AUUGAACGCUGGCGGCAGGCCUAACACAUGCAAGUCGAACGGUAACAGGAAACAGCUUGCUGUUUCGCUGACGAGUGGCGGACGGGUGAGUAAUGUCUGGGAAACUGCCUGAUGGAGGGGGAUAACUACUGGAAACGGUAGCUAAUACCGCAUAACGUCGCAAGACCAAAGAGGGGGACCUUCGGGCCUCUUGCCAUCGGAUGUGCCCAGAUGGGAUUAGCUAGUAGGUGGGGUAACGGCCCACCUAGGCGACGAUCCCUAGCUGGUCUGAGAGGAUGACCAGCCACACUGGAACUGAGACACGGUCCAGACUCCUACGGGAGGCAGCAGUGGGGAAUAUUGCACAAUGGGCGCAAGCCUGAUGCAGCCAUGCCGCGUGUAUGAAGAAGGCCUUCGGGUUGUAAAGUACUUUCAGCGGGGAGGAAGGGAGUAAAGUUAAUACCUUUGCUCAUUGACGUUACCCGCAGAAGAAGCACCGGCUAACUCCGUG
rnacentral:rRNA from 1 species